GAGAGCAAAUGAUGAAAAUAAUCUUAUCCUACACACUGAAUUUUGAUGUAGACUAAACAACUCCGCUUAUUAUCUGAUGCUCCC